AUGCAGGGGGUGCUUUUCAAUGGGUUGAUCGCUGUGAAGAAGCUACUCAAUACGCAUAUCCAUGAGGACAAAUUCCAGGGAGAGGUCAAAUGCCUUAUGAAGGUCAAGCACAAAAAUGUCGUACGUUUUCUAGGAUAUUGUGCCGAUACGCAAGGGAGAAUGGUAGACUAUGAGGGAGACUUUGUUAUGGCAGAUGUACGGCAGCGGUUGCUCUGUUUUGAGUAUCUACACAAAGGGUCUCUUCAUGAUUAUAUCACCGGUAGGAACAUUUUGCACAUUACUUCUUUUUGGUAG
rnacentral:rRNA from 1 species